rnacentral:rRNA from 1 species
GACGAACGCUGGCGGCGUGCUUAACACAUGCGAGUCGAACGGAAAGGCCCUGCUUUUGUGGGGUGCUCGAGUGGCGAACGGGUGAGUAACACGUGAGUAACCUGCCCUUGACUUUGGGAUAACUUCAGGAAACUGGGGCUAAUACCGGAUAGGAGCUCCUGCUACAUGGUGGGGGUUGGAAAGUUUCGGCGGUUGGGGAUGGACUCGCGGCUUAUCAGCUUGUUGGUGGGGUAGUGGCUUACCAAGGCUUUGACGGGUAGCCGGCCUGAGAGGGUGACCGGCCACAUUGGGACUGAGAUACGGCCCAGACUCCUACGGGAGGCAGCAGUGGGGAAUAUUGCACAAUGGGCGGAAGCCUGAUGCAGCAACGCCGCGUGCGGGAUGACGGCCUUCGGGUUGUAAACCGCUUUCGCCUGUGACGAAGCGUGAGUGACGGUAAUGGGUAAAGAAGCACCGGCUAACUACGUG